AAAAAAGAAAACCUAUCGCUCAAAACCUCUCUCUCUCUCUCACACACACUCACACUCAAAACCACUCAUUUUGUCGAGAGAGAAAGAGAGAGUUCGAGAGAGAGUAGGGCAGAGGAGCCGCUCCCCUUCCAGGCGUGCCUCCGCCGUCGUCCGUUCGCCGUCGGUUGAUCGGAGACCAGCACUCAACUCUCCUCUCUCUCCUCUACCUCCCCACACCCACAAAAUCAACAUCCAACCAUCCCAUUUCUCAGAUCGAAAAUCCAAACCCUAACCCCAAUUCCGAUUUCUGGCCAAAUCCACUCUUUUCCGGUGAGCUCAAGCUUCUCAAAGCCUUGCAUUCGAUUCUUCAAGGAACAAGAAUACAA